CGGCAACAGCUCAAAUUUGAAAUCUGGCUUCGGCCCGAGUUGUAAUUUGUAGAGGAUGCUUUUGGCGCGGCUCCUUCUGAGUCCACUGGAACGUGGCGCCACAGAGGGUGAGAGCCCCGUAUAGUCGGAAGCCAAGCCUGUGUAAAGCUCCUUCGAC
rnacentral:rRNA from 1 species